rnacentral:tmRNA from 1 species
GGGGUAGUAAUGGUUUCGACAUGUGUUACUAGACAUGAUUGCAAGUGGAUGGCACACCUAAUGUGCAAAAUUAAAAUUAAAUGACGAAUCUUUUGGAUUCACUCCUGCAUUUGCCUAAUUAAAGGAUAGUGGAGACUUCUAUCUAAUUUCGCUUAUAGGUUAGAAUAGGGGUUCAUAGAUAUAAGCUAUAUUAUUAAUAUUGAUUAGGUAUUAAUAAUGAAUUCUACUAAUCUAGUUAUUAACAAGGUUGGUUUAGAGCCAUAUUAGUAAUGAAGUUUAAAUCUAACUAAACUUGUAGAUGUUGUGUAAUAGGGCAUAUUGGACAGGAGUUCAAUUCUCCUCUACUCCACCA